GCACAAGAGGUGUCGGAAAAUCACCCUAACACCUCGUUGGAAGAAUUGGCAACAAAAAAACUCUGAUUUCACCAAAAAAUCAAAAAAAAAAAUCCAGAAUCUUCACCAACAACUUUGAAAAACCAGAAAUCACCACCGAUAACGCCAUGAACUCAAACCAAAAGAACAGGGAAGAUAGAGAGUAUGUCCAGGAGAAAGAACCAAGCUCUGAUACCAUGUAAACAUGGUGAAUCGGAGUUGAAUCAAGUAUGGAAAGAAGGAAAAUAGAGAUAGAAAAUAAAGAGAGAAAAGAGAGAGAAACGAGAGAGAAACCCUUCU
rnacentral:lncRNA from 1 species